UACGUAGGGGGCAAGCGUUGUCCGGAUUUAUUGGGCGUAAAGAGCGUGUAGGCGGCCAGACAAGUCUGCUGUGAAAACUCGAGGCUCAACCUCGAGCUGUCGGUGGAAACUGUCUGGCUAGAGUCCGGAAGAGGAGAGUGGAAUUCCUGGUGUAGCGGUGAAAUGCGCAGAUAUCAGGAAGAACACCUAUGGCGAAGGCAGCUCUCUGGGACGGUACUGACGCUUAGACGCGAAAGCGUGGGGAGCGAACAGG
rnacentral:rRNA from 1 species